rnacentral:rRNA from 1 species
AGUCGAACGGUAACAGGAUAGCAAUAUCGCUGACGAGUGGCAGACGGGUGCGUAACGCGUAUGUAACCUGGUUCCAACAGGGAAAUAGCCUUGAGAAAUCGAGAUUAAUGUCCCAUAGUUUGGUUUUGUGGCAUCACAGAAUCAAUAAAGCUUUGGCGGUUGGAAAUGGACAUGCGUCCCAUUAGCUAGUUGGUAAGGUAACGGCUUACCAAGGCUACGAUGGGUAGGGGGUCUGAGAGGAUGAUCCCCCACACUGGUACUGAGAUACGGACCAGACUCCUACGGGAGGCAGCAGUAGGGAAUAUUGGUCAAUGGAGGCAACUCUGAACCAGCCAUGCCGCGUGCAGGAUGACUGCCCUAUGGGUUGUAAACUGCUUUUUUAAGGGAAUAAAACGCUCUUGCGAGAGUAACUGAAGGUACCUUAAGAAUAGGCCUCGGCUAACUACGUGCCAGCAGCCGCGGUAAUACGUAGGAGGCAAGCGUUGUCCGGAUUUAUUGGGUUUAAAGGGUGCGUAGGCGGCCUAAUAAGUCAGUGGUGAAAGCCGACAGCUUAACUGUCGAACUGCCAUUGAUACUGCUAGGCUUGAGUACAAAUGAGGUAGGCGGAAUUGAUGAUGUAGCGGUGAAAUGCUUAGAUAUCAUCAAGAACACCGAUUGCGAAGGCAGCUUACUAAGAUGUAACUGACGCUGAGGCACGAAA